rnacentral:tRNA from 1 species
GCCUGGGUGGCUCAGUCGGUUGAGCGUCCGACUUCGGUCCAGGUCGUGAUCUCACGGUUUGUGGGUUCGAGCCCCGCGCCGGGCU